rnacentral:lncRNA from 1 species
UGAGCAAAAUGUGGAAAGUAAAGAUAUUAUUGAGCAUGUUGAUUGUCCAAAGGAAUCUCAUGAUGAAGAUGAUAGGAGCUCUAGCAGUAGUAGUUCCAGCAACGAGUCUCAAGUUUUCGAGAAGAAAUCAAAGGAAGCCAAUGAUGAGGAAAAGGAAGUUGUUUUUGAGAAGAAAUCAAAGGAAGCCAAUGAUGAGGAAAAGGAAUUUGGUUCUUUUUCUAAAGAGGUGAAGCAGAUCCCUGAAAAUGGGAAACCAGUCAAGGAAGUUAAUAAUAAUUCAGUCUUGGAAACUGCUUCAGCUAUUUAUUUGGUGAAUCCUGUGGUGCCCAU